CCUACGGGUUGCACCAGUGGGGAAUAUUGGACAAUGGGCGAAAGCCUGAUCCAGCAAUGCCGCGUGUGUGAAGAAGGUCUUCGGAUUGUAAAGCACUUUCGACGGGGACGAUGAUGACGGUACCCGUAGAUGAAGCCCCGGCUAACUUCGUGCCAGCAGCCGCGGUAAUACGAAGGGGGCUAGCGUUGCUCGGAAUGACUGGGCGUAAAGGGCGCGUAGGCGGUUUAUGCAGUCAGAUGUGAAAUCCCCGGGCUUAACCUGGGAACUGCAUUUGAGACGCAUAGACUAGAGGUCGGGAGAGGGAUGUGGAAUUCCCAGUGUAGAGGUGAAAUUCGUAGAUAUUGGGAAGAACACCGGUGGCGAAGGCGGCAACCUGGCUCGAUACUGACGCUGAGGCGCGAAAGCGUGGGGAGCAAACAGGAUUAGAUACCCUUGGUC
rnacentral:rRNA from 1 species